GUAGUUAGCCGGGGCUUUCUUACAGGGUACCGUCACUUCUUCGUCCCCUGCGACAGAGGUUUACAAUCCGAAAACCUUCUUCCCUCACGCGGCGUUGCUGGGUCAGGCUUGCGCCCAUUGCCCAAUAUUCCCCACUGCUGCCUCCCGUAGGAGUCUGGACCGUGUCUCAGUUCCAGUGUGGCCGAUCAGCCUCUCAGCUCGGCUACCCAUCGUCGGCUUGGUGGGCUGUUAUCUCACCAACUACCUAAUGGGACGCGAACCCCUCUAAAAGCGAUAAAUCUUUGACCUCUUCCCGAUGCCGGGUUGUGGUCUUAUGCGGUAUUAGCAGUUGUUUCCACCUGUUAUUCCCCACUCUUAGGCAGGUUGUUCACGCGUUACUCACCCGUGCGCCACUAGAAUUAUUAAUUCCAUCCGAAAACUUCCUUAAUAAUCCCCGUUCGACUUGCAUGUGUUAGGCACGCCGCCAGCGUCGUCCUGAGCCACGAAUCAAACUACUGA
rnacentral:rRNA from 1 species